rnacentral:siRNA from 1 species
GGCCGUUUGGGUGGCGGUAUAGU